rnacentral:rRNA from 1 species
AAUGGAGGCAACUCUGAUCCAGCCAUCCCGCGUGCAGGACGAAUGCCCUAUGGGUUGUAAACUGCUUUUGUGAGGGAAGAACCGGGUUCUAUAUAGAGCUUUUGACGGUACCUUACGAAUAAGCACCGGCUAACUCCGUGCCAGCAGCCGCGGUAAUACGGAGGGUGCAAGCGUUAUCCGGAAUCACUGGGUUUAAAGGGUGCGUAGGCGGCCUGGUAAGUCAGGGGUGAAAGGUCACGGCUCAACCGUGGAAUUGCCUUUGAUACUGCUGGGCUUGAAUCAGGAUGAGGUCGGCGGAAUGUGGCAUGUAGCGGUGAAAUGCAUAGAUAUGCCAUAGAACACCAAUUGCGAAGGCAGCUGGCUAGACCUUGAUUGACGCUGAGGCACGAAAGCGUGGGGAGCGAA